rnacentral:rRNA from 1 species
CAGUAGCCGCGGGAAUACGGAGGGUGCAAGCGUUAAUCGGAAUUACUGGGCGUAAAGCGCACGCAGGCGGUUUGUUAAGUCGGAUGUGAAAUCCCCGAGCUUAACUUGGGAACUGCAUUUGAAACUGGCAAGCUAGAGUCUUGUAGAGGGGGGUAGAAUUCCAGGUGUAGCGGUGAAAUGCGUAGAGAUCUGGAGGAAUACCGGUGGCGAAGGCGGCCCCCUGGACAAAGACUGACGCUCAGGUGCGAAAGCGUGGGGAGCAAACAGGAUUAGAUACCCCAGUAGUCCCUGUCUCUUAUAC